AGAAAUAAUAAUAUCGAAUGAUAAAUAAAAAAAUGUUUUUUUAAUUAAAGGAAAUAUUUAUAAUAAAUAUUUGUUAAUGUAAAGUGUUCUUGUGCAUUAAAAAGUGAAAUAUUUGGAUUUAAAAUGGAAACCAUAAUAAAAACGGGAUUUCAAUCAAUAACCCACGAAAUUCAGUUCCAGCCACAGACAUUGGUAAAA